CCUACGGGUGGCAGCAGUGAGGAAUAUUGGUCAAUGGGCGCAAGUCUGAACCAGCCAAGCAGCGUGCGGGAAGACGGCUCUAUGAGUUGUAAACUGCUUUUGUACGGGGAUAAACGCAGACACUCGUGUCUGUCUGAAAGUAUCGUGCGAAUAAGGACCGGCUAACUCCGUGCCAGCAGCCGCGGUAAUACGGAGGAUUCAAGCGUUAUCCGGAUUUAUUGGGUGUAAAGGGUGCGUAGGCGGGCGGAUAAGUUAGAUGUGAAAUCCCGGGGCUCAACUUCGGAACUGCAUUUGAUACUGUUCGACUAGAGAGUAGGUGCGGUAGGCGGAAUGCAUGGUGUAGCGGUGAAAUGCUUAGAGAUCAUACAGAACACCGAUUGCGAAGGCAGCUUACCAGGCUACGUCUGACGUUGAGGCACGAAAGCGUGGGGAGCAAACAGGAUUAGAUACCCUUGUAGUC
rnacentral:rRNA from 1 species